ACUAUUUCCACUCGGGAUGCAGGGACCCAGUAGUGUUUCCUAAACAUGAAGGAGUAACAUAGUAUCUCUAUCUCAUAAUUAAUACUGUAUUUUUCCCUAAUUUACCUUUAAGAAUGUACACUAUCCAGAAUGAAGAAAUAAUAGGACUGCUGAAGUACCGCACAUCAAAUGAACUGAAAGAGAAUGUCAGCCAGCUUGUGAGACAUGAAGCAGACAGUAUAUGCACGGAUUAAACAGAUCAAAGUUUCCCUUACUAAAUAUCUGAGAAGAAUUCAGGUUGCAAUGCUGUCUAUAAUUUCUGACUCUGUGGAACACAGCCAAGAACAAGACAUUGAACUAAAAGGGCUCUGAGUGGCCACAAGGAAGGAAAGUUGCUGAUGGAAGGGCUGAGUGGUGCUUAAUUUGGCAUACUUGCUCCUGUGUGGAAGAUAAAAGAACCAAAUGCAUCGAAGCUGGCAGAGAGGGUGGCCAUGGCGUUGGGGAGGAUUGGAGGAGAUGUUAGAGGACUGGAGAUCUUGGUCAAAGAAUACAAUGCUUCAGUUAGAAGGAACAAGUUAAGUAUUUGAAAUGGUAGAUACGUUAAACUCGAUUCAAUCAUUCUACAUUAUACGCAUGUACAACAGCACCACUUUAUACUUCACAAAUAUAUACAAUUAUACAAAAAAGGGCACCCGGGAAAUCUUUCUCUCCACACUACAGCAACUCUGUUGCUAGGCAAUGACACUCCUGCCUAGCAGGUGCCAGAGUCAGUGUUGAGGAGAUGGUGCGUAGACACAGCAUGCGAAGGCUCUGAGGAGGCCGGGAUGCGCAGAGGCAGUGACUCCUCCACGUCUGACUGGACCCACUCACCUCCCUGAGUGGGUCAUUUUCUGUGGCUAAGACAGCGCAAACCUGUUAUUUUACCUCUGGGGAAACCUGUGCUGGAGCAGCUCAAAGUGUGGCCCUAAAGUAGCAGCAUUAUAGCGUCCACAUUAGGGUGUCUGUGCUCCCUCAGACUC